rnacentral:RNase_P_RNA from 1 species
UGAGCGUGCCGGGCGUUCGCUAUCGCAGCAAUGCGAUAGAGGAAAGUCCGAACACCAAAGGGCAGCGAGCCGGAUAACAUCCGGGCGACCGAGAGAUCGGUUGACGACAAGUGCAACAGAAAACAAACCAGCCUUUUCGAAGGUGAUGGGUGAAACGGUGAGGUAAGAGCUCACCGGCGAGCGUGGCAACAUGUUCGGCCAGGCAAACUCCUCGCGGUGCAAGGCCAAAUAGGGAAACGAGAUGGAAGCGGUCCGCUUCCGGUUUCGGUCGAAAGGCCAGCUGCGUUUCCGGGUAGGCCGCUUGAGCCGUUCGGCGACGAACGGCCUAGAUGAAUGAACGCCGCCCGCACAUUUGUGCGGACACAGGAUUCGGCUUACAGGCACGUUCAGCUG